rnacentral:ncRNA from 1 species
GAUCAAGCGACUAAGUGCAUAUGGUGGAUGCCUUGGCGAUCACAGGCGAAGAAGGACGUGGUAGCCUGCGAAAAGCUGCGGGGAGCUGGCAAACAAGCAUUGAUCCGCAGAUGUCCGAAUGGGGAAACCCACUGCGCAAGCAGUAUCCCUGGCUGAAUACAUAGGCCAGCGGAGGCGAACCGGGUGAACUGAAACAUCUCAGUAGCUCGAGGAAAAGAAAUCAACCGAGAUUCCGAAAGUAGUGGCGAGCGAAAUCGGAAGAGCCUUUACGAUUUAGCGUGUGCGAUAGUCGAACGGGAUGGAAAGCCCGGCCGUAGCAGGUGAUAGCCCUGUAGGCGAAAUCGCGCAUGUGGAACUAAGCGUAAGAGAAGUAGGGCGGGACACGUGAAAUCCUGUUUGAAGAUGGGGG